CAGGUGUUUCCCCGUAGCGCCUUGGAUUUUAGUGUUUAUCCCAAGUUCCUGGCUUUCUGGUUUCCCCUCGUGAUGCUGUGGAUUUUACCCACUGGUUGCUCGAGUCCCUCUUCGCCUCAGCUGAAGAAUCACUGACAAUUCCUGGUUUCACGGCUGGCAGUCAGAUCGCUCCUCAUCUCUCCUCACAAGAACUUACUUGUCUGCCCUCCAUCACAAGCCUCUUCCAUCUACCUUCAAGGAACUCACAGUCAAAAUCACACUGGAACCUGGAUCAUCUGAAGAACCCCCACCUGCAAAGAUACCACAACCCCAGAGAGAACAGUACUUCUCCCCCUGGCAGAAACCCACCACUUCAAAGUUCUGACGACCCUGGGUUCCCAUCCACAGGACAAGAACCAUACAAUCUCAUAUUUUCAUCAUUGUCAAAAUAAACUAUCUGAUUUCCUAUUUGUAUUUUUGCUCCUGUUCUCCCGAUUGUGUUCUGUCUGUGGGUUAAAAGAUGUGAACCCAACAUGACAAUUUGGAGCUCACAAACAUCAGUGAAAAUACUGCAAAAAUAAUUUGAAUAGCAGCAAAAGCCAAACAUGCCACAAAUGACUAAAUCAAAAUGUACCAAAAGCAGGACGGACUGGCAUAGGAGCUACCGAGAGACUCCAGGUAGAUUCCAGCUGAGAGAUGUGCAGCGGCUUGCUCUUCAUGCAGGGCUGGCCCAAAGUAAUACAUGCUAGAAGUAUUUAAAUUAAGUUAUAGAUAAAACACUCUUUUAUUCAUAUUGUAUUUUUGUUUAGCUGCAGAAGUUUUACAGAAUCUGAGCUGAGUGAUAUGUCACUGUUUUUGUACAGCUACAACUGGAAGCUUCCAGAGCUUCCAGUUGUAGCUCUUGAAGAAGAAACUUUAACAUCUUUUCUGUGCGUUAGAACCUCGCUGCUUCUGAGAACAAUUAAAAAAAUAAAAAAUACAGCAGGGGGGAUUUAAAGUUGCCAAAACUGAA